CAUGAUUCAGUGUGAAAAGAUUUAUCGGGAUAAGAUGGACCCGCGUCUGAUUAGCUAGUUGGUGAGGUAACGGCCCACCAAGGCGACGAUCAGUAGCCGGCCUGAGAGGGUGAACGGCCACAUUGGGACUGAGACACGGCCCAAACUCCUACGGGAGGCAGCAGUGGGGAAUAUUGCACAAUGGGGGAAACCCUGAUGCAGCGACGCCGCGUGAGUGACGAAGUAUUUCGGUAUGUAAAACUCUAUCAGCAGGGAAGAAAAUGACGGUACCUGACUAAGAAGCCCCGGCUAACUACGUGCCAGCAGCCGCGGUAAUACGUAGGGGGCAAGCGUUAUCCGGAUUUACUGGGUGUAAAGGGAGCGUAGACGGCAUGGCAAGUCUGAAGUGAAAUGCGGGGGCUCAGCCCCUGAACUGCUUUGGAAACUGUUAAGCUAGAGUGUCGGAGAGGUAAGUGGAAUUCCUAGUGUAGCGGUGAAAUGCGUAGAUAUUAGGAGGAACACCGGUGGCGAAGGCGGCUUACUGGACGAUGACUGACGUUGAGGCUCGAAAGCGUGGGGAGCAAACAGGAUUAGAUACCCU
rnacentral:rRNA from 1 species